CCCGUAGUGGCGCACGGGUGAGUAACGCGUGGGAACCUGCCCUGUGGUACGGAAUAACUCCGGGAAACUGGAGCUAAUACCGUAUGUGUCCUGCGGGACAAAGAUUGCAUCGCCAUGGGAGGGGCCCGCGUAGGAUUAGCUUGUUGGUGGGGUAACGGCCUACCAAGGCGUCGAUCCUUAGCUGGUCUGAGAGGAUGAUCAGCCACACUGGGACUGAGACACGGCCCAG
rnacentral:rRNA from 1 species